rnacentral:lncRNA from 1 species
GGGCGGGGAAGGAAACGUGAUGAUUGCGCAAGCGCAGAAAAUGGGCCCUCUUGGCCGUCGGGACUUGUACUGUUGGUGACUCCGUCUCCUUAGACGGUGGAGCCUGCGUGACCCAGAAAGGCCAUGGUGAGCUCCUUAGAGGGAAGUAUAGUACAUAUUUCCUCCAUGUCUCCAGUACCCAACACAGUGCCUGACGUUGAGAGGGCUCUUAAUAAGUGUUUGUGAAAGACUGGUAGAGCAAUGCCCUAUGAAACAAGAAGCUGGAUAACACUGCUUAGGACUCAGAGGAGAGAGGAGUGUGGUCUACACUGCACAUCUCUGCCAAGCCUGGCACGGGAUUUGAAGUUCCACACCACUGAGCCAAACACAUCCAGACCCUCUUCCAACCCGGGGAUCUGGUGGUAAGCAAAAUACUAUUCCAGCAAGUGAUGCCCCCAGUCUCCUAAGGAUAUAAGCAAAAGGAUAAAGCCUCGCCAUGAGCACAGCUGUGUGCUGAGUCCCAGGAGCCCUUCCAGAGAACCUUCAAACAUGAGAAACAGGAAGUUGUGUUUGGCUGCGGACAAACUCUCUCAGUGCCCCUGGGACUUACAAGAUGUUUGGAAUGAGGAACGAUCUGGUUUCUGAGUCCCUGGGCUGCAGCUGUUGAAUUUCCAGACACAAACAAGUAUGCGUUCUGAGAGCCUCGCCGAGCCCACACAACCGGGAGAGCCAAGCUGGAUUCCAUUCUGCUUUGCACAUCAGCAGCUCUGCUGCCAGCUGAACUCCAGGGCAAAAGCUGUGCCUGGUAAUGAUGCAGGCAGCAGGGAUGGCACAGCUGGCCUGGCUUAGGCCGUUAAGGGGGACACGCUUGGCCUUAUUUGGGGGAGAGCGAGAAAUGGAAGGCGAUGAAGAGUUGCGGAAGCAUACAUCAGCCUCCACAAAACUGGUGCACAGCAGGGAAACAAUCUGGUUUUGCUAGUCAUCAACAAAAAAAAAAAAAAAAAAAAAAAAAA